CCCUGUUUACAAAAACAUGGUCUUUUGUUUAUAUAAAAGAUCUGGCCUGCCCUAUGAUUUAUUUUAAAUGGCUGCAGUAUUUUGACUGUACAAAGGUAGCAUAAUCAUUUGUCUUUUAAUUGAAGGCUGGUAUGAAUGGUUGGAUGAGGAAUAAUCUUUCUUUAUUUUAUAUAAAAAAAUUAAUUUUUUAGUUAAAAAGCUAAGAUUUAUUUAGAGGACGAGAAGACCCUAUAGAACUUUAUUUUUUAUUUUAUAUAAAAUUUUUAGUUUAUUAUAAUUUUAUAUAAAUUUAUUAAUUUUGUUGGGGUGACGGAAAAAAUUAUAUAACUUUUUCUAUUUUUAACAUUUAUGUAUGUUGUUUUGAUCCUAUAAUAUGGAUAAUAAGAUUAAGUUACCUUAGGGAUAACAGCGUUAUUUUUUUGGAGAGUUCUUAUCGAUAAAAAAGUUUGCGACCUCGAUGUUGGAUUAAAAUAAGUGGCAGGAGUAGAAUAUUGCUUACUAGGUCUGUUCGACCUUUAAAUUUUUACAUGAUCUGAGUUUCAACCG
rnacentral:rRNA from 1 species